rnacentral:tRNA from 1 species
AGCCCCGUCGUCUAGUGGUCAUUUCGUUUCCUUUUGGAAACGAAAACACAAAAGGAUGCAAGCCUCUGGAGCUUGAUACAGCGGUUCGAAUCCGCUCGGGGCUA